rnacentral:rRNA from 1 species
GAUGAACGCUGGCGGCGUGCCUAAUACAUGCAAGUCGAGCGAACGGACGAGAAGCUUGCUUCUCUGAUGUUAGCGGCGGACGGGUGAGUAACACGUGGAUAACCUACCUAUAAGACUGGGAUAACUUCGGGAAACCGGAGCUAAUACCGGAUGAUAUUUUGAACCGCAUGGUUCAAAAGUGAAAGACGGUCUUGCUGUCACUUAUAGAUGGAUCCGCGCUGCAUUAGCUAGUUGGUAAGGUAACGGCUUACCAAGGCAACGAUGCAUAGCCGACCUGAGAGGGUGAUCGGCCACCCUGGAACUGAGACACGGUCCAGACUCCUACGGGAGGCAGCAGUAGGGAAUCUUCCGCAAUGGGCGAAAGCCUGACGGAGCAACGCCGCGCGAGUGAUGAAGGUCUUCGGAUCGUAAAACUCUGUUAUUAGGGAAGAACAUAUGUGUAAGUAACUGUGCACAUCUUGACGGUACCUAAUCAGAAAGCCACGGCUAACUACGUG